UACGUAGGGGGCGAGCGUUGUCCGGAUUUAUUGGGCGUAAAGAGCUCGUAGGCGGCUUGGCAAGUCGGGUGUGAAACCUCCAGCUCAACCUGGAGACGCCACUCGAUACUGCCAUGGCUAGAGUCCGGUAGGGGACCACGGAAUUCCUGGUGUAGCGGUGAAAUGCGCAGAGUAUCAGGAGGAACACCGGUGGCGAAGGCGGUGGUCUGGGCCGGCACUGACGCUGAGGAGCGAAAGCGUGGGGAGCGAACAGG
rnacentral:rRNA from 1 species